GGUGAGUCGACCCCUAAGGCGAGGCCGAAAGGCGUAGUCGAUGGGAAACAGGUUAAUAUUCCUGUACUUGGUGUUACUGCGAAGGGGGGACGGAGAAGGCUAUGUUAGCCGGGCGACGGUUGUCCCGGUUUAAGCAUGUAGGCUGGUUGUCCAGGCAAAUCCGGAUAAUCAAGGCUGAGGUGUGAUGACGAGGCACUACGGUGCUGAAGUAACAAAUGCCCUGCUUCCAGGAAAAGCCUCUAAGCAUCAGGUAACAUUAAAUCGUACCCCAAACCGACACAGGUGGUCAGGUAGAGAAUACCAAGGCGCUUGAGAGAACUCGGGUGAAGGAACUAGGCAAAAUGGUGCCGUAACUUCGGGAGAAGGCACGCUGGUGUGUAGGUGAAGUCCCUGCGGAUGGAGCUGAGACCAGUCGAAGAUACCAGCUGGCUGCAACUGUUUAUUAAAAACACAGCACUGUGCAAACACGAAAGUGGACGUAUACGGUGUGACGCCUGCCCGGUGCCGGAAGGUUAAUUGAUGGGGUUAUCCGUAAGGAGAAGCUCU
rnacentral:rRNA from 1 species